AAGAAAUUAGUUAAUUAAUAACACUACCUUGUCAAGGUUGAAUAAUGAACUAAAACUUCAUACUUCUUA
rnacentral:tRNA from 1 species